UUGAAGUGUAUUAACACAGAACUCUAGAAGGCUUUAUAGAUACUCAUGAUAACAUCAGUCUGUGUUGUCUCUCCUUCAGGAUCAUCAUAUCACAAAUAACUGGAUUACCCUGGUGGAUAAGAAACUGAGCUGCACCAUCCUGUCCCUGGCUGAGGCAGACGGUCAAACCACCAUAACCUUCUGGAGAUCCAUGCAAUCAUGUGAUGAGGAUGACUUACACAUCACCGUCAAACAAUAGAGGUCAAGACUUUAGAAAGCUGCAUCCCACGAAGAUGGAGACGGAAAGACCAUGGACACAAUGCAUCUGGGAUCAAGAAGAAGAUCUUCGCAGAAAUUAAUCAAAUCCAUGUAAUGGAUAUAGACAAAAAGAUAAUUCAAGGACUAUCAGAGGUAGAGAGGUGAGGCAGGGGUGAGGACAUCAUCCUUGCUAUUUUGACAGUCCCUGGAGGACAAUACAGAAGAGGACUCGAGACCACAGCAGCGAUCCUGCUCUUGCCCUACUUCUUCAAAGAGGACCAGAGUGGCCUUUGCACAAAUGAUCUGUUUCUUCAUAAACAUAGGUUUCACCGCUCUUCACUCCUUUACUGCACAUUGGCGGAAAUCCAUUUCACCAUGAGAGUGAAAUCUCGCUGGCCUUUGAUGGAGAGAACAUCCACGCCCUAGAGGACGUCCCCAUGGGACUUGGGGCUCUGUUAGGGCUGUAUUUAAAAAAAAAAUUCCCUUAAAAUUCCCAAAAAUGUCAGAAAAACACUUAUGUUCUUAAGUUACUGUGUUCUGGGUUAAGACAAUUUGGGGUGAAGUUACCAGGGCCGGUCAUAAAGAUGACAAACUUCCUAACAUAACUAAGUGGUUGUUGGGCAAGUGGUUGUUACACACACACACACACACACACACUAAAGCUAAAAAAUCUGUAUUUAGCAAGUCUACAAACAUAAUAAAUAAUACAUUAACUUUGUAUAGUGCUUUUCAUUACAUUUAAAAUGUUUUUUUAAUAAUGAUGUACAAUAAAAACAACAUACAUUAAAAAUGAAUCAUAGGUACACUAACAACUAGUCAACUAGCAAUUUCGUAGUGUGUUUUCUUUGGUAAAGUGUUUUGUAAAUAUUAUUUCACAUUUGUGGUGCCACUAAAUAAACAAUUAAUUAUUUAAUAUUAUUAUUAUUAAAAUAUGCAGAUGCAGAUGAAUUAGCUACCUGACCCAUGAAAAAAGUCACAGCGGGGCUGAUGGAAACAGGAUGUGCCGAUAGAAUUGUAAAAAUACCGACAGACAAUUUGUUCGUUCGACAUGGUGGGAUCUUUUUGUGUCGGCAAAAGUAAUAAUGCGUGAAAUUUCGGUGGAAACGGAUUUAUGCGCAAAUAUUGAUACAGUAUAAUAGGCUAUACCUAUCACGCGAUGAUAUGUCGUUUGGUCCUGCCUCUACGACUCCGGAAACUAUACAGUUUAUUAGGUUACAGAUGAAAUAAAUGAUGAUGAACUUUACAGUGGUGUAAAAGUGCACGUGAUGAGCUUGAUGCUCCAAUAAAUAAAUCCAAUAAAUAUCUGUGCCACGGUAACAAUGGCGUGGCCUCCAGGACACAAAGGAUCUCACACCCCUGAGAAAUCGGACAUUACUUUUAAAAGAGUGUUACCUUUUUUUCUGGGCUCAGAGCCAGGUCUCUAGGCUAUUGUGCUUUGGUUUUUCAUUGUUGUACUUCAUUGUUUGUAAUGUUACAUCUUCUCAUAAUAUCACUACAGGCCUACAUGCAAAGCUCCAGUUUCUUCCUAAAACCCUGAUUAUUUAUGUCUUAUGUACAGUUUGUUCACCCAUAGCCACAGGAAAUAGGGGUGUUUUAAACAUGUCUUUCUAUCCUAUCUAUUUUUUUUUAAAGUGUGCACUAGGCCUUUAUUAUUCAAGUAUGAGUGGAAAUAAAUACUAAUCAGCAGAGCAAGGAGGAAAAUAUCCUUUCCUCCUCCUCCCCCUCAUCUUCUUGUCCUGCUUCUCUCCGAUCCUCCUGUCAUCCUCUCUCCUCCUCCUGUCCUCCUCUCUCCUCGACCUUCAUCCGCUCCUCACUACCCUCCUUCUGUCCUCCUCCUCCUCCACCUACUCCUACUGUCCUCCUCCACCUACCCCUCCUCCUUCUGUCCUCCUCCCCCCUCCUCUCCUCCACCUUCUGCUUUCCCCCUUCCUCCUCCAGCUCCUUGUCCUUGAGGCGGACUUUGCUUAUUUUUUCAAUACGUGUCACUUUGCAUGCAUCAAUGACUUUAGACAGUGGUAUGCAAGUGCCUUUAAAUGUGUAUGUUCUAUGUUCAGUUGAAGUCGGAAGUUUACAUGCACCUUAGCCAAAUACAUUUAAACUCAGUUUUUCACAAUUCCUGACAUUUAAUCCUUGUAAAAAUCCCCUGUCUUAGGUCAGUUAGGAUAACCACUUUAUUUUAAGAAUUUGAAAAGUCAGAAUAAUAGUAGAGAGAAUUAUUUAUUUAAGCUUUUAUUUCUUUCAUCACAUUCCCUGUGGGUCAGAAGUUUACAUACAUUCAAUUAGUAUUUGGUAGCAUUGCCUUGGGUUCAACUUUUCGGGUAGCCUUCCACAAGCUUCCCACAAUAAGUGAAUUUUGGCCCAUUCCUCCUGACAGAGCUGGUGUAACCGAGUCAGGUUUGUAGGCCUCCUUGCUAACACACUUUUUCAGUUCAAACCCACACAUUUUCCAUCGGAUUGAGGUCAGGGCUUUGUGAUGGCCACUCCAAUACCUUGACUUUGUUGUCCUUAAGCCAUUUUGCCACAACUUUGGAAGCAUGCUUGGAGUCAUUGUCCAUUUGGAAGACCCAUUUGCAACCAAGCUUUAACUUUCUGACUGAUGUCUUGAAAUGUUGCUUCAAUACAUCCACAUAAUUUUUCAGCCUCAUGAUGCCAUCUAUUUUGUGAAGUGCACCAGUCCCUCCUGCAGCAAAGCACCCCCACAACAUGGUGCUGCCACCUUCAUGCUUCAUGGUUGGGAUGGUGUUCUUCGGCUUGCAAGCGUCCUCCUUUUUCCUCCAAACAUAACAAUGGUCAUUAUGGUCAAACAGUUCUAUUUUUGUUUCAUCAGACCGGAGGACAUUUCUCCAUUUGCAGUUGCAAACCGUAGUCUGUCUUUUUUAUGGUGGUUUUGGAGCAGUGGCUUCUUCCUUGCUGAGCGGCCUUUCAGGUUAUGUCGAUAUAGGACUCAUUUUACUGUGGAUAUAGAUACUUUUGUACCUGUUUCCUCCAGCAUCUUCACAACAUCCUUUGCUGUUGUUAUGGGAUUGAUUUGCACUUUUCGCACCAAAGUACAUUCAUCUCUAGGAAACAAAAUGAGUCUCCUUCCUGAGCGGUAUGACAGCUGCAUGGUCCGAUGGUGUUUAUACUUUCGUACUAUUGUUUGAACAGAAGGUACCACGUUCUUCAGGUGUUUGGAAAUUGCUCCCAAGGAUGAACCAGACUUGUGGAGGUCUACAUUUUUUAAAUGAUUUCUUUUGAUUUUCCCAUGAUGUCAAGCAAACAGGCACUGCGUUUGAAGGUAGGCAUUGAAAUACAUCCACAGGUACACCUCCAAUUGACUCAAAUGAUGUCAAUUAGCCUAUCAGAAGCUUCUAGCCAUGACAUCAUUUUCUGGAAUUUUCCAAGCUGUUUAAAGGCACAGUCAACUUAGUGUAUGUAAACUUCUGACCCACUGGAAGUGUGAUACAGUGAAUUAUAAGUGAAAUAAUCUGUCUGUAAACAAUUGUUGGAAACAUUACUUGUGUCAUGGACAAAGUAGAUGUCCUAACCGACUUGCCAAAACUAUAGUUUGUUAACACAAGAAAUUUGUGGAGUGGUUAAAAAACGAGUUUUAAUGACUCCAACCUAAGUGUAUUUAAACUUCCGACUUCAACUGUAUAUGAGACCUUAGAAGGCUUAGCUUACAUGCCUCUUGUUUAUAUUUUUAAAUAAUACAUGCAACAUUUCUGUUAUGUCUAAAUGUUAACCACCCAUAUAAGUCAGUGUAUUUGUAUAUACACAGAUAAUAUUAACAGAACCUGCAUAUUACCACUGCAAGGUCGUGAAGGUGCCAAAGCUCAACAGGAAAAAUCAUAUCACUCUGAUGGAGCUGGCGAUCGAUCAACUGGACCUGGUCCAUCACAUGGUGGUCUAUGGCUGCAAAUUGUCUGUAAACCAGACCUAUGAGCAGAAAUGCCACAUGGGAGAACCAGCUGAUGAAUACAUCUGUGUAGUCUGCCUGUGGUGUAAGAGGGGUGACAGACUGCCCCCUUCUGGAGACUUUAAUACAUACACACAUGCAUGCACGAAUUAACACCCACACACAUUAGUCUGCACUCUGUCUCUUCAUUAUCGAUUAGUCUUCUCUGGCUUUUUAGCUUCUAGAAAACACUGGCAUCCCUAUUGGAGGACAGGAUAAUGAUGAGUUCUACAAGCUGGAAAUUCACUACAACAACACGGUCCAAGAAGCAGAAAACAUUUUACUAGCUACAAGCUAGUAUAACCAUUUUCCAAACUACUGAUAAUGGAUCAACAGGCUUUCCAUGCUCCAAUCUUAAUUAUUGUGUGUGACAUGCAAAUUGUGUGUAGGUAUGUAUUAUGUGUAUAAUGAGGGAGGAGUUUUUGUUGUGUGCUUCGUCUUGGCUUGUUAGUUUCAAUCCAUUUCUUUCUCUUGCACUGACAUCCCUCCCCGCAUAUCUUCUGUCCUGCUACAGGCAAUCAGGACCAGAGAUAGUGAAAUAUAGGACACAACCGGCAUCAGCUGUGAAUUUGGAAACUAGAGGUGUAAUAUAUAUGUUCAAUAUGUCAGAAUCUAACUGGUUUUCCACAGAUAAAUGACCACAAAAUUCACAGCAACAUGUAAACCAGAGGAGGCUGGUGGGAGGAGCUAUAUGAGGACGUGUUCAUUGCAAUGGCUGGAAUGGAAUCAAUAGCAUGGUAUCAAACACAUGGAAACAACGUGUUUGACUCCAUUCCAGCCUCCUCUGGUGUAAACUCUGUGGAUUUGGAAACUGGAGGUGCUCCUGAGAAGAAUGGGCCCUCAUUUACUGUGACACAUUGUACAGGAAAUUGUGUACAGUGCAAUAUGAAUGACAGAACGUUGUGUGCAGUGUAAUACAAAUGGGCUAAAUAACAAACAAAAAAUAGAUGUGCUUUCUAAAGUUGAAUAUUCUAAUGAUAUUAUUAUUAUUGUUAUUACUAUUAUUAUUAUGAAUAAUAGCAAUAUAAAUCAUGUUUUGUUAUUUUGUAUUACUGUUGUUACUAUAAUAACUAUCUAGCAAUUUGUAUUUAUUUUAUUGAACCUUUAUUUAAGUAGGCAAGUCAGUUCAGAACCAAUUCUUAUUUACAAUGAUGGCCAAACUGCGCCGCCCUAUGAGACUCCCAAUCACGGCCGGUUGUGAUACAGCUCAGGAUCGGACCAGGGACUGAUCACUGAGAUGCAGUGCCUUAGACCGCUGCGCCACUUGGGAGCUGUAAUCAUUACUGUUGAUGCUGUUAACAAUAUUGUCAAUGCCAUAUUAUAAUUUGUGCUAUUUAAAAAAAAAUGUAUUGCUAAACAAUAUUCGAAGUAUGCUAACAUUUACAAAUAAAAUGUUAAGAGUUUCAACCAUUAGUGUUUUUUUGAUCAUCUUCAUUGGGGGACUAAAAUAAAAUAAAAAAUGUCACAUGCGCCGAAUACAACAGGUAUAGAUAGACCUUGCUGUCACGCCCUGACCAUAGAGAGCCUUUUGUUCUCUAUGUUGGUUUGGUCGGGGUGUGACUAGGGUGGGUGCUCUAGUUUUUCUAUUUCUAUUUCGGCAUGGUAUGGUUCCCAAUCAGAGGCAGCUGUCUAUCGUUGUCUCUGAUUGGGGAUCAUAUUUAGGCAGCCUUUUCCCACUGGGUUUUUGUGGGAUCUUGUUUGUGUGUAGUGGCCUGUGAGCACUUCAUGACGUUUCGGUUUGCUCUUUAUUGUUUUUGUGAGUUUAAUUUCAAUUAAACAUGUGGA